rnacentral:rRNA from 1 species
GAUGAACGCUGGCGGCGUGCCUAAUACAUGCAAGUCGAGCGAACAGACGAGGAGCUUGCUCCUCUGACGUUAGCGGCGGACGGGUGAGUAACACGUGGAUAACCCACCUAUAAGACUGGGAUAACUUCGGGAAACCGGAGCUAAUACCGGAUAAUAUAUUCAACCGCAUGGUUCAAUAGUGAAAGACGGUUUUGCUUUCACUUAUAGAUGGAUCCGCGCGGCAUUAGGUAGUUGGUAAGGUAACGGCUUACCAAGGCACCGAUGGGUAGCCGACCUGGGAGGGUGUACGGCCACUGUGGGAGUGAGACGCGGUCCAGACACCGAGGGGAGGCAGCAGUAGGGAAGCUUCGGAAAAGGGCGAAAGACUGACGGAGCAACGCCGCGUGAGUGAUGAAGGUCUUCGGAUCGUAAAACUCUGUUAUUAGGGAAGAACAAAUGUAUAAGUAACUAUGCACGUCUUGACGGUACCUAAUCAGAAAGCCACGGCUAACUACGUG